UGGAUCACCUAGGCGAAAACACCAGUUCCCGUUCGAACACCAAAGUUAAGCGUCCGAGGGUCUCGUUAGUUUAGUACUAUGAUUAGAGACAACAUGGGAAUCCGGGAUGCUGUAGGUA